UCGUGCUAAACGGGGUGGUAGCGGUGCCCUGUAACCCGCAAUCCGCUAUAGCGGGGUUGAAGUCUGCCUAAGCAUAUUUCUUUUUAAGGUCAGGCUUAAGUAAGUGGUGUUGAAGGUUGGGUCCUACGCAACGGAGAAUUAUGAAUUCCGUCAGGCCCGGAAGGGAGCAACGGUAAGUAAUAUCUUCCGUGUGCCGUAGGGUUACCUGGCUCGAGCUAACUACUUAAGUAACGCUUAAGACGAAGUAUGUGAGGGCAGAUGCACGG
rnacentral:SRP_RNA from 1 species